CAGCUAGACAAAGGCAAUCUGUAAACCACUGAUGUGAUUCACCUGACUGCACAGCAGAAACUGAGGGAGAUGAGUUUGAAUUGAGAAGCUGUGGGUGCAGGUCAGAGGGCACUGGAAUGGUCAUCCUGAGGCCAGGGAGAGUGGCUGCAAGAGGGGAAGGAAGCACAGGGAUUGGCAGCAAACCCUGUUAGCCGUUCCCCGUCCUGUCACAACAGACCCUGCAGGGCCCUGAGCAGCCGCUGGGGGGCGGCCGUGCCCGCGGCUGGGCGCUCCCGCAUUGCCCGGCCCGAGAGCGAGCAGGAGCUGAAUCCCAGCAGGAGCGAGUGACCUGGAGGUAAAGGAGAUACAGCUGAGCCAGUGAGGUCCUCUAACGGGAUAGGGAUGGGAAUGAGAUGGAAAUUACGGAAUCGUAAUCAUAGAAAGGUUUGGGUUAGACCUUAAAGCCCACCCUGCCAUGGGCUGGGUGCCCCUCCAGCUCCACAUCCAGCCUGGCUCUG
rnacentral:lncRNA from 1 species